AAGACUAUACUUUCAGGGAUCAUCUCUAUAGUUUGUUACUAGAGAACUUUCUCUGAACGUGUAGAGUACCUGAAACCAUGAGGAGGAAAUGGAGUGUACUCUUGAGCGUGAAGCUGGUUCUUAGUGUUGCUUUGGUAACUGCCAUUUGCCAUUGAUGAUUGUUCUUCUUUCUCCUUGGAGAAAGUACAAGGGAGAGAAUACUAUCUGAUUGGU